UACAGAGGGGGCAAGCGUUGUUCGGAAUUACUGGGCGUAAAGGGCGCGUAGGCGGCCGCCUAAGUCAGACGUGAAAUCCCUCGGCUCAACCGGGGAACUGCGUCUGAUACUGGAUGGCUAGAGAUUGGGAGAGGGAUGCGGAAUUCCAGGUGUAGCGGUGAAAUGCGUAGAUAUCUGGAGGAACACCGGUGGCGAAGGCGGCAUCCUGGACCAACACUGACGCUGAGGAGCGAAAGCCAGGGGAGCAAACGGG
rnacentral:rRNA from 1 species